AUUUUUCAAUAAAAAAAUCUUUUGAUUGAUUAUUUAUCAAUUAGUAUUAACAAAUCAGAGGAUUCAGUACUUGCACCUGCCUAUUGCACAUUACUGGUGUGCUAGUUAUUUCUUAUGGGUGAAAAGGUAACAGGGCCCAUGGCUGGGAGGGCCCUUGAAAAGAUGUUUUCUCAUUUGUAUAUAUUUUCAGAAAGAACACCUCCUCUGUAGUAAUUUGAACAUUUUUAAUAUAAAUGGAAAUUUCCAUAAUUUGUUUGAAACAAUUGCUUUUCUUCAUGCACAUAACACCACACCCCUUUCUUGAUGUGAAAAUGGUUUCGCCCAGCCCGGUGUUGUUCUCAGCGGGAAAAUCGAUUCUGUGACUCACAGGGGACAGGCGAGCAAGGAGUGGUCAAACAAACAAACAAACAAACAAACAAACGAACGAACAAACAAACCACAAAAAGCAGACAAACAAAUGCAUAAAUACAUCAAUAAAAUCUGACUGGCGCGCUGGUACCAAAGCGAGUCUUAUGGAUAGAGAAGGAAACAAAACAGGGACGCAGAUUGACCAACCACCCGGGACAGGCGAACAAAUGACCAACAGCAAGAGAAGAAGGUGAACUUUUGGAAUUCCAACACCUGAAGCCAAAAUUGGACUGUACUUACACAACUUAAAAGUCUCAUAAGAAGACAAGGGAAGAAAAGAGCAGUAAAAAGCAAGGGGAUGAACCACCACGAUGGAUGCUGGUUGGACCAUGUUGCCAUGGAUACGUUCCAAUUUCUUCCCAGUCCGCUUGUGUACACUCUUCAAGUGCUGGUGCUCCCAGUCAGAGAUCCACAGCCUGUCCUCAAACACUGCAAGGUCAAAAGGUCGACCUGGGCCAAUCAGAGGAGAGGAAAAAGAAGACCUGACUUGGAUAUGGAGACAUUGCUGAAGGACUCGACGGUCUGAGCCAUCCAAGGCCGCAGUCUCCACCAGCCCUCUGCUUCGGUCACACCAGAACAGACGAUCCUCUGUAAAGUCAAUGGUCAGGCCGCUGGGUGACACCAGACGUCCAGUGAGUCCAUGGGGCUUCGGACCACCUCAAAGUAGUUUUGGAGGAUGGUGACGGUGCCAGACAGCGCCUCAUGUCCACAGCCGCAGAACAGAGCCACGCCCGCGUAAAGCAAGAUGGUGGCGAUAAGAGAUGGGUUCCUUUGUGUACACCGGCUUGCUAACGGCUGAAACAUCAAGGAUCACAGCAGAAACAAGCCAUAGACUUUUUGGCAGCUUUUUGACUUUUUGUUUUUCUAUUUUUGAAAGACGAAAAAAGUAAGCAAGAAAGAAAUAAAGGCAGAGAAAGAGAGAAACACAGAAACUACCUCUCAGCAGCCAGAGCAGCCCUCAGAUGACUUAAAGCUUUGAUCCACACAAAAAGGCUGACCUGACUGCGGAGGAGGAAGUUGUUGGAGGGCUUUCCCAGGAAAAGGGCACUGGAAAGGUGCAUCUCUACUUUUCAACUCAUUAAUUUACCAGAAGACCCUCUGAGCAAGAUCAUCAGUGAACUCUACCUCUAUGCUAAUUUUUUAGAGGUUAUUUUCCAUCGCCUCUGAGAUAAACCAAUAAAUCGCCUGACAUAUUGUCUUGUAUGAUCUUUCAGCCAGCAAAGAGGGCUGUGUCUUUAAAUAUGCUGAUCUCAUUGUUUUUCAGCCAUUGGGAGUGCAUUGCAGUGCAUAGAAACUC